GUGAAUUUAGGUCACAAUGUAGUACUAGGUCAUUGCUUGAUCAUCAUCUCAUCCUUUCAAGUAAGCCAAAGCUUCCAAUACUGAGAAAACCAUUAUACUACUAUAAUAGUAACCAAAGUCUAUAAUUUGAGUUCAUUGGUUGAUCAUCAUCUUCUCUAGACUCUAGUAAAGCCAGUGCUACUAAUUAUGGAAACCCAUCAACUCAUUUUUCAGAUAACCAUGGUCAUCAUAACCUCUAAUCAUGAGACCUAAAAGACCCAAAUUUGAGCUUUAAGAACUACUGCCACUCAACAUUCUCUCUCUUUUUUCUUUUUUUUCUUUCUUUGAUGGUAUUUCAGAAUUCAGACAAAGUCACCAACUCUCUAGCUAUCACUGAUGACUGACAGUAAAAAGUGAAAAAAAAGAAAGAAAAGAAAAACACUAAUGGAUACACAGUAAACAAAGAGAAUCAAAUAAUUUCAUUUACUUUAUAGAUAGACUAAAGUGAGUGAGUGAAUGAGUAUACAAUGGUAGAGUAGAAGAGAACAAAAUGAGUGGAGUAGACUUAGUAGAGUAUUAUUUAGAGAGAUUGGGUUUUGCCUUUGCCCUUUGCCCUUUGCACUUUGCCUUUGCCUUAUUACUCACUUGAUUGAGAGACAUAGUUUCCUGUCGGCAGAGGUUAGUAAUGCUGACUGCUCAACUACUAGUGGGGUGAGGUAUGUUCUGCUGAUUACACAUUCUCUCUUUUUAUUUUUAGCUCUUUUUUUUUUGAAGAAGGGUUAAAGCUUUUUCACUUGUUGUUGUUAUUGUUGUUGUUGUGUUGUAUCAAGUUAAUUAUCAACUAUCAAAUGCUUCUUCACUCACUUACUCACUCCACUCCACUCAUAGUUCUUCUGUUAAUAUAAAUAAAAAGAAGCAAAGAAGAAAUAUAUAUAUAUAUAUAUAAUGAUUAGUAUAGGACGACAUUCUCUUUUCUUCCCUCCUUCAACGCUCCCACCAACUUAUAUAUAUAUAUAUGAGUGUUAGUUUAUUUUCUUUCAAUUUCAAAACUCUCAUGAGACACAGAAAGAGACACAGAGAAUCCUAUAAUCUGGAUUUUAUAGUUUUUUUUUCUUGUAAUUAUAUAUUUUUGGUGACAUCAGGUUGAAAUUUUGAAAUUGAAAAAGGUUCAUUAUAUUUAACAAAAGCUUUUUUACUCAAAAAGAAAAGAAAAGGUCAUCAAUGGACAUACAGUAGUAUAGUACUAUACAGCAUAAUAACCCCACAAAUUAAAAUUUACAUAUAAUUAGCAAAUUAUGUUAACUAAUUUGUUAACUUUUUUGCUUUGCAGUAGUGUUAUCUUUUGCGUGAUUGGUGGUGUGAUGAUCAAUUUACAAGUUAAUAGAAAGGUAACCAGGCUAGAAACAGAAUUGGGGAAAGAAAGACUAAUAAGACCUAGCUAGUAGCUAAGAUAAACAAGUUUAACUUUAACCCAAAGUUUGUACUAUUAUAUAUUGAUUAGUAUUUAGAAAAUGUGUUUACAAGCUGUGAAAUGUUGAACAAAUUUUCCAUGUUAAUGUUCUUUGGAGAAAAGGUUUUAUUAUGUAUGGUAAUGGUACAGUACAUUUUUUUUUCCUUUGGACCUGUAACGCUGUAACAGUCUGCAAGGUUCAUAAUAGCAUGUCUCACUGUUUUUUUUUUUUU
rnacentral:lncRNA from 1 species